rnacentral:rRNA from 1 species
CUACACGGGUAUCUAAUCCUGUUCGCUCCCCACGCUUUCGUGCCUCAGCGUCAGUUACAGCCUAGUAAGCUGCCUACGCAAUCGGUGUUCUUGAUUGUAUCUAUGCAUUUCACCGCUACACAAUCAAUUCCGCCUACCUCGUCUGUACUCAAGCCUAGCAGUAUCCAUGGCAGUUCAACAGUUGAGCUGUUGGCUUUCACCACGGACUUACUAAGCCGCCUACGCACCCUUUAAACCCAAUAAAUCCGGACAACGCUUGCACCCUCCGUAUUACCGCGGCUGCUGGCACACAAUUACCAUACGGAGCUAUGGU